rnacentral:lncRNA from 1 species
AGGAGCUUUAGGUAUUGCCCUACAUGACUGAUGGCCAUAGAAUUAUGGAGCUGAGGCCUGGUGACAGGAGCCUAGUGUAUGGGAGGGUGGCAACCUUCCUUCCAUCCCUUGAAGAGUUAUCUGCUGGGUCUCCGGGAUUUUAACCUAGCUCAGCCAGACAAGAGGCUGCCUUUCAUGGUCACACAGUCAUGACUCAAUGUUCCCAGCAGUGAUGGCCAAGCCACUCAGUUACAGCUAGUAAAGUAUAAGAAGAAUUC